GACUAUGCCAGUGAUUAAAGACAGUUGCGGACUUUAAUGGUAUUUUGUGUUGAAGUUCUAGGUGCAAUUGCAGCAGGUUCUCCAGGAAACUGAAGCUAAAGUUCUUAUUCCACGUGUCAAACUUCCACACGCUAAGACUUUCCUGGAAAUGUUUAACGAGGAAGAAGAGAGCAUAUACUGAAGCUAUUUUAGUUUACAGUUGGAUCCAGUUGUCACCAAAGCCUGGCAGAGCUGGACGUGAUGCUCCCCGAUGAUGUUGCGUUUACACUUUGAUUGUUCAAGUGGCUCCCGAUGCUGCCGUAACGAUUUCUGCAGGCUACAGGACACCAAGCUAAGAAGCUGUCAUCUACAUUUGAAUUCAGCCUUCCAGGAAUCCGUGGCACGUAGGUCCAGCAUCCCAACUCAGGUUGAAUCAGCUGAAUGCAAAAGUCACUGCUGCCGAGACAUCACGCACAAACUUAUCCCCCGCUGGAACCUUCUGUCAGCUUUUCACAUCAGGGAAUUUCACAUUCAUGGAAGAGAGUAGGGGCAGAUCCUGGCAUGACAUCUAGACCUAUCCCCUGCUUAAGAGCUUAAACUUUCGUGACUUCAACUUCUGCACAUUUGAUUCUGCAGGACAUUUGACAUCAUAGAGGUUAUGGCUGAUGUCCUGCAGAGCUAACGUGGCUAAGAGGCACCAGGUUCUGUAGUAAGAGCAGCACAAGGAGGUGUUGCAUCCUUGAGUCCCCAGAGAGAACAAUGGGGUAGCCAGGUGUCCCAGACUGCUGAGCCAACAAGCUUAGGGCAACAAGCUCUAGAGGUGACAUGAGAAGGGGAACAAAGGAGGAGAUGGGGCAGUGCUUUCGUAAGUCAAGGUCCCAAAGCAAAUACCAGAGAAAAUCCCAGGAGAUCUGCAGGUCUAUCUUCAGAACAGUGCCCGGCGAGGAAGGCACGCAGCUUUGCCCGUCCCGGUGGGGAGAAAGCAGGAGGAUGAUCUGCUGGCACUUACCUGAGCACCAUCCCUGCUGCCCUCUGUGUUCAACACCUGCUCCAAGAAAGAGGUCUCAGGAGCUCAGGGACCACUGCUGCGAAUUGGCAGCUAUCGAAAGCUGCAGGUUACACGUUGAGAAGUAGAAGAAUCUUUAUUUUUACUGCAUGCUCCUGGAUCCCCAAGUCAUGCAAUGUUUCUGCUUGCACAUUGCUGAGGAUCAAACCGGCUCACCAGGCUGCUGCAAGCUUUAUUUGCAGCCACGCACACGUGCACCUUCUGUAGAGAGUAGAUUUGCCAUUUAUCAUCAAACUUUUCCAUGGAUCAAAGCUUGCUUUAUUUGGUGUAAUUUUUCUUCCAACCAACAUUUUAAUCAGUCAAGUUUUCAAAAACCAUGUCUGUUAGGAAGGCUCACUAGUGCUGUGUAGAAGGGUAGAAAGAAGAGAGAGAGAAGAAAAAAGCAAUGAACAACAAGAUCUCCCCAAUGCGCUUCGAAACGCUCCCAGACUUUCCAGUUUGUUCCGCAGUUUUGUUUACUUUGCCAUUGUAAGGAGAAUAAGCAAAACUUCUUUGUCAUCAUUCUUCCUUCCCUGAGACAGAAUAUUAUCAAUACUUACUGCAGCCAAGGAAAUAAUUAAAAAUGAAUAAUUUAUGCAAUUAAUGCAGUCUUUUCUCCCAUUUAUACAAUAACUGCCAGAGGAUCAAACAUUUCUUUUCAAUUUAUUCCUUAGUUAAGUUUAUUUGAUACAUCUUAAUGAUCCUACUGCUCUGUAGAUUGAAUGUUAAUUUUAAGUAAUUAUU